UGACGUGACCGCAUGGUCUGCGUUUGGAAAGAUUUUUCGGUUGGGGAUGGGCUCGCGGCCUAUCAGCUUGUUGGUGAGGUAAUGGCUCACCAAGGCGUCGACGGGUAGCCGGCCUGAGAGGGUGACCGGCCACACUGGGACUGAGACACGGCCCAGACUCCUACGGGAGGCAGCAGUGGGGAAUAUUGCACAAUGGGCGAAAGCCUGAUGCAGCAACGCCGCGUGAGGGAUGACGGCCUUCGGGUUGUAAACCUCUUUUAGCAGGGAAGAAGCGAAAGUGACGGUACCUGCAGAAAAAGCGCCGGCUAACUACGUGCCAGCAGCCGCGGUAAUACGUAGGGCGCAAGCGUUAUCCGGAAUUAUUGGGCGUAAAGAGCUCGUAGGCGGUUUGUCGCGUCUGCUGUGAAUCCCGAGGCUCAACCUCGGGCUGCAGUGGGUACGGGCAGACUAGAGUGCGGUAGGGGAGAUUGGAAUUCCUGGUGUAGCGGUGGAAUGCGCAGAUAUCAGGAGGAACACCGAUGGCGAAGGCAGAUCUCUGGGCCGUAACUGACGCUGAGGAGCGAAAGGGUGGGGAGCAAACAGGCUUAGAUACCCUGGUAGUCCACCCCGUAAACGUUGGGAACUAGUUGUGGGGUCCAUUCCACGGAUUCCGUGACGCAGCUAACGCAUUAAGUUCCCCGCCUGGGGAGUACGGCCGCAAGGCUAAAACUCAAAGGAAUUGACGGGGACCCGCACAAGCGGCGGAGCAUGCGGAUUAAUUCGAUGCAACGCGAAGAACCUUACCAAGGCUUGACAUAUACGAGAACGGGCCAGAAAUGGUCAACUCUUUGGACACUCGUAAACAGGUGGUGCAUGGUUGUCGUCAGCUCGUGUCGUGAGAUGUUGGGUUAAGUCCCGCAACGAGCGCAACCCUCGUUCUAUGUUGCCAGCACGUAAUGGUGGGAACUCAUGGGAUACUGCCGGGGUCAACUCGGAGGAAGGUGGGGAUGACGUCAAAUCAUCAUGCCCCUUAUGUCUUGGGCUUCACGCAUGCUACAAUGGCCGGUACAAAGGGCUGCAAUACCGUGAGGUGGAGCGAAUCCCAAAAAGCCGGUCCCAGUUCGGAUUGAGGUCUGCAACUCGACCUCAUGAAGU
rnacentral:rRNA from 1 species